UACGUAGGCAGCAAGCGUUGUUCGGAGUUACUGGGCGUAAAGGGUGUGUAGGCGGUUGUUUUAAGUUUGGUGUGAAAUCUCCCGGCUCAACUGGGAGGGUGCGCCCGAAUACUGAAUGACUAGAGUGCGGGAGAGGAAAGUGGAAUUCCUGGUGUAGCGGUGAAAUGCGUAGAUAUCAGGAGGAACACCGGUGGUGUAGACGGCUUUCUGGACCGUAACUGACGCUGAGACACGAAAGCGUGGGUAGCAAACAGG
rnacentral:rRNA from 1 species